rnacentral:rRNA from 1 species
ACGGGUGAGUAAUGCCUAGGAAUCUGCCUGGUAGUGGGGGACAACGUUUCGAAAGGAACGCUAAUACCGCAUACGUCCUACGGGAGAAAGCAGGGGACCUUCGGGCCUUGCGCUAUCAGAUGAGCCUAGGUCGGAUUAGCUAGUUGGUGAGGUAAUGGCUCACCAAGGCGACGAUCCGUAACUGGUCUGAGAGGAUGAUCAGUCACACUGGAACUGAGACACGGUCCAGACUCCUACGGGAGGCAGCAGUGGGGAAUAUUGGACAAUGGGCGAAAGCCUGAUCCAGCCAUGCCGCGUGUGUGAAGAAGGUCUUCGGAUUGUAAAGCACUAUAAGUUGGGAGGAAGGGUUGUAGAUUAAUACUCUGCAAUUUUGACGUUACCGACAGAAUAAGCACCGGCUAACUCUGUGCCAGCAGCCGCGGUAAUACAGAGGGUGCAAGCGUUAAUCGGAAUUACUGGGCGUAAAGCGCGCGUAGGUGGUUCGUUAAGUUGGAUGUGAAAUCCCCGGGCUCAACCUGGGAACUGCAUUCAAAACUGUCGAGCUAGAGUAUGGUAGAGGGUGGUGGAAUUUCCUGUGUAGCGGU